rnacentral:rRNA from 1 species
CCUACGGGAGGCUGCAGUGGGGAAUAUUGCACAAUGGGGGAAACCCUGAUGCAGCGACGCCGCGUGAGUGAAGAAGUAUUUCGGUAUGUAAAGCUCUAUCAGCAGGGAAGAGAAUGACGGUACCUGAGUAAGAAGCCCCGGCUAACUACGUGCCAGCAGCCGCGGUAAUACGUAGGGGGCAAGCGUUAUCCGGAUUUACUGGGUGUAAAGGGAGCGUAGACGGCGAAGAAAGUCUGAAGUGAAAGCCCGCGGCUCAACCGCGGAACUGCUUUGGAAACUGUUGAACUAGAUUGCAGGAGAGGUAAGUGGAAUUCCUAGUGUAGCGGUGAAAUGCGUAGAUAUUAGGAGGAACACCAGUGGCGAAGGCGGCUUACUGGACUGUAAAUGACGCUGAGGCUCGAAAGCGUGGGGAGCAAACAGGAUUAGAUACCCGGGUAGUC